GAAGGGUGCAAGCGUUACUCGGAAUUACUGGGCGUAAAGCGUGCGUAGGUGGUGAGUUAAGUCUGUCGUGAAAGCCCCGGGCUCAACCUGGGAAUGGCGAUGGAUACUGGCUCGCUAGAGUGCGGUAGAGGAGAGUGGAAUUCCCGGUGUAGCAGUGAAAUGCGUAGAGAUCGGGAGGAACAUCAGUUGCGAAGGCGGCUCUCUGGACCAGCACUGACACUGAGGCACGAAAGCGUGGGAAGCAAACAGGAUUAGAUACCCUGGUAGUCCACGCCCUAAACGAUGCGAACUGGACGUUGGGAGCAACUAGGCUCUCAGUGUCGAAGCUAACGCGUUAAGUUCGCCGCCUGGGGAGUACGGUCGCAAGACUG
rnacentral:rRNA from 1 species